rnacentral:rRNA from 1 species
GAUGAACGCUGGCGGCGUGCUUAACACAUGCAAGUCGAACGGGAAACCUUUUAUUGAAGCUUCGGCAGAUUUAGCUGGUUUCUAGUGGCGGACGGGUGAGUAACGCGUGGGUAACCUGCCUUAUACAGGGGGAUAACAGUCAGAAAUGGCUGCUAAUACCGCAUAAGCGCACAGAGCUGCAUGGCUCAGUGUGAAAAACUCCGGUGGUAUAAGAUGGACCCGCGUUGGAUUAGCUGGUUGGUGGGGUAACGGCCCACCAAGGCGACGAUCCAUAGCCGGCCUGAGAGGGUGAACGGCCACAUUGGGACUGAGACACGGCCCAGACUCCUACGGGAAGCAGCAGUGGGGAAUAUUGCACAAUGGGGGAAACCCUGAUGCAGCGACGCCGCGUGAAGGAAGAAGUAUCUCGGUAUGUAAACUUCUAUCAGCAGGGAAGAUAAUGACGGUACCUGACGAAGAAGCCCCGGCUAACUACGUG